rnacentral:rRNA from 1 species
UCGAAUCAGGUAGGAAU